rnacentral:rRNA from 1 species
GACGAACGCUGGCGGCGUGCUUAACACAUGCAAGUCGAACGGUAAGGCCCUUCGGGGUGCACGAGUGGCGAACGGGUGAGUAACACGUGGGUGAUCUGCCCUGCACUUCGGGAUAAGCCUGGGAAACUGGGUCUAAUACCGGAUAGGACUCCGGACUGCAUGGUCUGGGGUGGAAAGCUUUUGCGGUGUGGGAUGGGCCCGCGGCCUAUCAGCUUGUUGGUGGGGUGAUGGCCUACCAAGGCGACGACGGGUAGCCGGCCUGAGAGGGUGACCAGCCACACUGGGACGGAGAUACGGCCCAGACUCCUACGGGAGGCAGCAGUGGGGAAUAUUGCACAAUGGGCGCAAGCCUGAUGCAGCGACGCCGCGUGAGGGAUGACGGCCUUCGGGUUGUAAACCUCUUUCAGCAUCGACGAAGCGAAAGUGACGGUAGGUGCAGAAGAAGGACCGGCCAACUACGUGCCAGCCGCCGCCGUAA